AACGAACGCUGGCGGUAUGCUUAACACAUGCAAGUCGUACGUGAAGGGGGCUUCGGCCCCUGGAAAGUGGCGCACGGGUGAGUAACACGUGGAUAAUCUACCCGGUGGUUUGGGAUAACAUCUCGAAAGGGGUGCUAAUACCAAAUAAGCCCACGACAUCUUCGGAUGACGCGGGAAAAGGGGGCUUCGGCUCCUGUCACCGGGUGAGUCCGCGGGCCAUUAGCUAGUUGGUGGGGUAAUGGCCCACCCAGGCGACGAUGGGUAGCUGGUCUGAGGGGAUGAUCAGGCACACUGGACAUGAGAACCGGUCCACACUCCGACGGGGGGCAGCAGUAGGGAAUUUUGCGCAAUGGGCGGAAGCCGGACGUAGCAAUACCGCGUGAGUGAUGAAGGCCUUCGGGUCGUAAAGCUCUGUCAGAGGGGAAGAACCUCCCGUCGGUUAAUACCCGGCGGGCCUGACGGUACCCUCAAAGGAAGCACCGGCUAACUCCGUGCCAGCAGCCGCCGUAAUAC
rnacentral:rRNA from 1 species